GUUGUUGGGUAGGGGAGCGUUCUGUAAGCCUGUGAAGGUGUACUGUGAGGUAUGCUGGAGGUAUCAGAAGUGCGAAUGCUGACAUAAGUAACGAUAAAGCGGGUGAAAAGCCCGCUCGCCGGAAGACCAAGGGUUCCUGUCCAACGUUAAUCGGGGCAGGGUGAGUCGACCCCUAAGGCGAGGCCGAAAGGCGUAGUCGAUGGGAAACAGGUUAAUAUUCCUGUACUUGGUGUUACUGCGAAGGGGGGACGGAGAAGGCUAUGUUGGCCGGGCGACGGUUGUCCCGGUUUAAGCGUGUAGGCUGGUUUUCCAGGCAAAUCCGGAAAAUCAAGGCUGAGGCGUGAUGACGAGGCACUACGGUGCUGAAGCAACAAAUGCCCUGCUUCCAGGAAAAGCCUCUAAGCAUCAGGUAACAUCAAAUCGUACCCCAAACCGACACAGGUGGUCAGGUAGAGAAUACCAAGGCGCUUGAGAGAACUCGGGUGAAGGAACUAGGCAAAAUGGUGCCGUAACUUCGGGAGAAGGCACGCUGAUA
rnacentral:rRNA from 1 species